UUGAUCCAAAAGAUGUAAAUAGAAACUCUCAGUCUCUCUCUCUCUCUCUAUCUCUCACUACGGCGGCAAAAACUCCAAGAAACUCUUAAGUUCAUCUCCGGCGGCAGCAAAAACUCAGCCCUCUUUUUUAUUUUUCAGUGCCAUUCAGAUGGGGAGAGCAGAGCUUUCAAAGACAACAACAAUUUUCCACUACUAAUUAGAGAGAGCCAACAACCGUUUACUAAUUGAACCACUCCUUUAGCCUUUUAGUCGGGAUGAUUAUUCGGCUGAGGGAAAAACAAAGCUGUUGAAGUUAACAACAAUUUUCCGCUACUUAAAAGAGCCAACGUUUAUCCACCAAACAAGCAUUGCAAUUUCCUCAAGAGGUUAGUGUUUUCAAUGAUUUUUCAAUAUUCGAAUCAUCAACAAAUUAGUCGCAGCACUUCUUUAGUCGAAACACUGAAUAUUUUAUACAACUACUUGAAUUUUGGAUGAGAAAAACCGAGCACUUAGUCAUAUUAAACACCCACGUCUUAAAAAGUACACAACUGCACACACACUUUGACACAUGUGGUAAACACUAAAUCAAUUCAACCAAAUCACUUAUUAGUCAAAACUUGCGUCUUAAAAAACACACUAAGUAAACAAAUUUAGGCGUACCACUUAGCACAUCAAAAUACAAUUUUUAGAGGGGAAACUUUUUUUCCAACUAAUUAAUUCGUACCUUGAAAUGUUUAAUCGUAGCAAACGGGUAAGUGAAUAUUAAAACUCAAUUAAACAAACUAACUCAGUUAAACAAAUUGAAUAGGCAAACACUUAACAAAUUAAUCUUGACACUUGACACGAAUAGGCAAACACAGUUUAAUAGCAACAUUAGAGAGGAACAAACGUUUAUUUUUAAAUGAUUCAAAUUUCAUCCCAAUCGAAUGAGAAGGUAUGACUCCAACUUCAACUUCGCGCUUCUAACGACUUACCACUUAUUUAGUUGACAUGUUUGAUAUGUUUUCAUUAUUUUGAUAAAUGUUUUCAUAUAGCGAGGGAAGCGGGAAGCACAUCUCGUACAUAGCCGACAGAACUCUGAAGAUUUGGAGAAAUGUUUACAAAUGUUUGAAGAUCUAUUGAAAAAAAAAAUCAUAAUACAGGUUUACAAACAUUUCUCCAAAUCUUCAGAGUUCUGUCAAAUAAGUAAACAAUUUACCUGACAUCAAUUUGAAUUCCAAAAAAUUUGAAUGUAAAAGCGGAUAGAUACUCUGCGUAUUGUCCUACCUCGUUUGGAUUCGAGUUAAUCUUAAUUUUUUGUUGAUAAAAAUAAAAUAAAAUAAAUAAGUAUACCAAAAAAAAAAAAGCAUUGAGUGUAUGUAUGCAAGAGAGAGAGAGCAUAUAUUAAAUAGUUAAUUUCUAAAAACACUUGGAAGCAUUUUCAGCCGUAUUUCAAAGUGGAACUGGAGAAGAGAGUAAUUUGAAGUGAAGCA